rnacentral:lncRNA from 1 species
UCAUGGAAUUUGGUCUUGAAGAGACAGUAUAGGCUGUAAAAACCUUAGUCUGCAGAGUUAUCCAAGUCCCAUCACAAAUGCUGACCAAUGCUUAGAAUGAGAUCUUGUCAGAGUUUCCUCCUGACUAAAUUAUUUUUGAAAAGUUCAUUAAUAGCAUACACAGUUGAACAAUUCACAUAUUUAAAAUGUGUAAAUAUAUAAUAAAUUAUCAGUUUAGAAGAAAGGUUAGAUUUUAAACCAUGUCUGGAAAAUAGGAAAGAUGGCUCAAAUCACUGGAGCAAUGGAGUUAGGUAAAUUCCUCAAAAGCUCUAUUUGGGAGGGUGGAAUUACAUCACAGAUACAGAGCAGGAAGUAAUUGAUGGUAUGACAGCCAAAUCAAAGAAAUUGCAACAAAUUCAAGAGUAGCUUAGAGAGACUGGAGAAAAAGAGUUUUGUUGGUACAAAAUGAGUUGUAACUGUGAGUGUCCUGUGGGGAAAUGCUCUUGGCAUGCAAGUUCUUAUGCUCCUACCAGCAAGAAGCCAGAGUUGGUUUAGAAAUGGAGUAGAAAAGUUUAGAAAUGAAAAUGUGUGGGUGUAGCAGAAGAGGUGUAGAGACUGUAACUCCAUAUGGUUAAAAACAUCCUUUCCAUGCAAACAUUUUGAUUCUGUUAAUUCUUUUAACUGUCCCCAAAUGCCAAGGCACUCUUGGCUAACCCUAGUGACUGGAAGAAACAGGGAUACUUUCACAUUGUUACCUUUACCUCACAUAGCUCGAUGCGAUGGUGGGUGUAUCUUUGUGAGCAAUAGGUCCACCUCCAUAUAACCAGAUCAAUGUGUAUGCCUCCAGGUUCAUGUCUGGUGUGUGGAAAAGGGGAUGGAGAGGCAGAGUGGUUGUCAUGAGAACAGUUCAUGUCUGCAAGACUUGCAAUGACAGCAGUUUGGACAGAGAAAAUGCCAGAAUUUACUUUCAGGCUUAUGGCCAAAAUGUAAGUUUUUCUGUAAUUCUCCGAAAGUAUAAAACAAAUGUAUGUACAUACUUGGAAAUAAGUGUAACAUAGACAACUGAACCCCUCUUGGCUCCUUGUCUUAAAUGAGACAAUGUAAUCAGGAA